AUUGAACGCUGGCGGCAUGCCUUACACAUGCAAGUCGAACGGCAGCACGGGGCAACCUGGUGGCGAGUGGCGAACGGGUGAGUAAUGCAUCGGAACGUACCUUUCAGUGGGGGAUAACGUAGCGAAAGUUACGACAAUACCGCAUAUUCUGUGAGCAGGAAAGCAGGGGAUCGCAAGACCUUGCGCUGAUUGAGCGGCCGAUGUCAGAGUAGCUAGUUGGUGAGGUAAAGGCUCACCAAGGCGACGAUCUGUAGCGGGUCUGAGAGGAUGAUCCGCCACACUGGAACUGAGACACGGUCCAGACUCCUACGGGAGGCAGCAGUGGGGAAUUUUGGACAAUGGGGGCAACCCUGAUCCAGCCAUGCCGCGUGAGUGAAGAAGGCCUUCGGGUUGUAAAGCUCUUUCGGCCGGGAAGAAAUCGCACGGGCUAAUACCCUGUGUGGAUGACGGUACCGGAAUAAGAAGCACCGGCUAACUACGUGCCAGCCGCCGCAGUAAUAC
rnacentral:rRNA from 1 species